UGAAAGAAGAAAAGUCUCAUAGCGAAUUCCUCCUGAUCUUUGGCUUUCGUGUUUCUAGGGUGGUGAUCCACCUUUCAGAUGUCUGUUGUUGAAAUGAUAAUAUAAAGGGCUCUAAAAAAGUCUGCCUUUAUCCUGCCAAGGACAUGUGCAGGGCUUUACAUGUAUGAAGCACUGACAAACAUUGUGGGUGAGGGCUGAUUAAGAACCUGAAUUAAAUAGAAAAAAAGGAGUAGCCACAUAAAAAGGCCAAGCUGUAUGAGAAGCACUAGGGACCUGGUUUGUGGAUUUAGGAGAAUACAGUGGUAUGGGCCCCACAGUAUUUCAGCUUAGGUACAAGUAAACAGGAAGGCAAACAUCUUCCAGGCAGGAUGAGUUUGACUUUAUGUCUUUCCAAGUAGUAGGAUUUUCUUUCCACAACCCAACCUGUGGGACAUUUUCAAGUGAUCUAUGAUCCAGAUGCCAUUGGAAUCAAUGGGAAUCUUCCUACUGAUUUUAGUUCAGGCACUAAGGGCGUUUUUACACGUGCUCUGGAAGGCAUGGGAGGGUGCUUUAAUUAGCGAGCUGUGCUAAUUAAAAGUGCCCGAGCAUCACGUGUAUCAGCAUUUCCACACUAAAAAAUGGUGGCAGGGCGCUUUGAACUAAAACUCAUUGAAUGAGCUUUAGUUCAAAGUACCCCACUGCCAUUUUUCAGCACAGAGAUGCUGAUGCACAUGAUGCUAGCGUCUGCUGGAGCUCAUUAAUUUGAGUCUGCCAGAGCAUGGAAUUAACGUCUCGAUUAUUAAUCAAGUCUGCUCCAAUGCAUUGGAGCAGGCUCUCUGCACAUGUAUAGGAGCCCUAAGAGAGGAGGCACACAAAGGCCUUGAGAUGUAUUUACAGUCUAGUGAAGAGGACUACAUCUAAGGCUGGAUUCAGAAUGUCUCAUUAUGCACAUAAGGGAUACUUUGCCCACCUACAUCCCAAGCAGUGAUUCAAAGUCACUUUGUGCCAGCAUGCACAACACUCAUUAUGUGCUCAUAUGCCUUAUACAUUUCCAUUUUGGAGGGCAAAGUUCCCAAAGUGUCUUUACUCAGGCCAGUGAGCCUGCUGAGACCUGACCUGAAGCAGCCACUUGCAAGCCUAACUUCCACUUGAGAUUUUUCUAGCACUUGCAGGAGGUGCAUGAACUCUGCCUGCAGCCUCAGAGAGGACCCAGAAGUUAGGCAGAGUUAUUAAAAACCUACAUCUAAAAUCAACUACAAGGUAUUCAGUUCAGAUCUAAAAUCAACCGCACUGCAUUCUAACUACCAGGUUACAGGUGGUGCCCAAUACCCUAGUAUUUACAGUAUUUACCCAAGAAGUAGGGACCUGAGUUCUAGGCCUUCUUUACCCCUAGAGGAUUUGAAUCCAGUUCCCUAGAGAAUGCCCUCACCACUAGACUACAGAGUAGGAUAGAUCACUGUUUCUCAACCUGGGUCACAAAAAUAUAUGAAACAAACUUUAAAAAUGGGUCAACAAACUUUAAAAAUGGAUUCUCCUUUCAAGGAGAAAAAUGUGGGAAACUGUGGCUUUUCCCCUGCAAGUUGGCAGAGUUCCAGCCUACGAGGGGCUGUUUGGGGCCUCCCUUGCCCCACACACUGCGGAGGACUGACAGCAGAGGGCAGUGAGUUAGGAGGAGGGGCACUGGGUCAGGACAGGCCAUCAAUGUUUACAAAUGGGUCCUGAUACAAAAAAGGUUGAGAACCCCUGGGAUAGAUGAAGCUGGACCAAUAGACAGCCAAGAGUCAUGGGGCCAGAAAAAUAAGCAAAAGGGAGCCUGCCUGUGUAGCGUAGUGGUUACAGGACUCCCUUGGGAGGAGUAACCCUUGGCUUAUAUAGCUCCUAUUGCCAGAGACAGGAUUCUUAUCUGAGAUAUUCAGGACUAGGUAUUUGGGCAUUUGACCUUCCAGUGGUGAUUGGAUUGAGGCAAUGAAAAGUGGGUGUUAACAUGAAUUUUAAUUGUUUUUCCUAGAUCUUUCCAAAUUGGCUGCAGACUUCAUGACUCAGCUAAGUGUGUCAGGUGCACCUCCGGUGGCCAAACCAAUCUAUUUAAAGCAAGGCCUCAGCUGUUUGGAAGAUCUGCAAAAGCGUCUUUUUGCAGUGAAUUCUAGUGGGAUAACAUACAGUCCAGAAAAACUCAGCCAAGAACUGUUCUCAGAAUAUCAGGACGUGGAAGAUUUAAUAAAAGAGCAAAGGAAAGCUCUGGAGACUUCCCAGAGACUACUGAUAUUUUCCAGAAGCUGAGCUGUUGAUGUUGGAUUGUCAGAGAACCAGCAUGUUGUCCACAAUGCCCUCUUAAUAGCCACAGGCAAACACACUACGCUGUACACAGUCACUGAGAAGAGCCAUUCUGCAGCCAUGCCUGAUUAUGCAAGAAACUCUGCUCAAACAUUAAAGCAAACACUGGUAAAUAUUGGGGGAUACACGGAGAAGGUAUGUGUGAUUCCACAACUCCUCAAGCUUCAAACCAAUGGAUAAGAAGAAAAUGUCAGGUUUCAGGUUGCAGACUUGGGUUUGAUCAGUCGAGGAAGAGCAAGAGCUUCAAGAAAGGCAUCCGUGAGGCGUGCCAAAAAUGUCAAGGCUUCCUCACAAAGAAACCUCAGGACUGGUUCAGUGAGAAUGAUUGGGAAAUGCAUGCCUUCCAAAUGGAGAGAGCACACAGUGACAUCAGCUCCAAAUAGAAGUGCCCACAUUCGUGACCUUCAGUACAGAUCAGUCACUUGAUGGACCCUGCCACAUGGACAGUUUUGCACACGUAGGGGAAGAAUUCAUCUCACCCAUGUGUGUGUUAGCUAAAGCCACCAUUGAGUCAGUGUGUAACAUGUAAUAAAAAGACAGGAGAAUUUA